GCACAGCCUCCAGCCCAGGAGGGGCAGCCCCAUGGUGCAGCCCGAGAUCUCCAUGGACCUGGAGCAUCCCCUGCCAGCCCUGCGCUCCCUCUUCUUCCAGGUCCCGCGUUUCCAGUGUCAGCCAGCAGGGAGGCCCCGUCCUCCCUUCCCUAUGUGUCUCCUGGGCAGAAAUUUGUGGUGGAUUGGGACAGGGAUGGUGCUUCCCUCAGGCCCGUUUAGGGAGGGGACUGACUCCCAGCCUGGCACAGGUCCUCAGCUCUGCCUUGGUUGCCUUAGAGUGAGAAGGAUCAUUCCUGAAGG
rnacentral:lncRNA from 1 species